rnacentral:rRNA from 1 species
GACGAACGCUGGCGGCGUGCUUAACACAUGCAAGUCGAGCGGUAAGGCCCUUUCGGGGGUACACGAGCGGCGAACGGGUGAGUAACACGUGGGUGACCUGCCCUCAGCUCUGGGAUAAGCCUGGGAAACCGGGUCUAAUACUGGAUAUGACUCCAUGACGCAUGUUGUGGGGUGGAAAGCCUUGUGCGGCUGAGGAUGGGCCCGCGGCCUAUCAGCUUGUUGGUGGGGUGANGGCCUACCAAGGCGACGACGGGUAGCCGGCCUGAGAGGGCGACCGGCCACACUGGGACUGAGACACGGCCCAGACUCCUACGGGAGGCAGCAGUGGGGAAUCUUGCGCAAUGGGCGAAAGCCUGACGCAGCGACGCCGCGUGAGGGAUGACGGCCUU